UACGUCGAGCAUCUUUCUUAUGCAUGCACAUAACAACAUGUUUGAUCUGCAAAAACAUAUCUGCUUCAAGGCUCCGAGAAUAUCAUCUCAUCGCAGGGUUGCAAACAGUGUAGCGUGGUCAUUGAUUGAUAGUGGCUCUGAAACUUCACCCAGCCAGGCUGGCCAUGUCAUGCCUCUGGUGGUCAUUGCAUGUACAAGGGCUCCUGUUGUGAUACAAACUACUGCUGCCCUGGUGGAGGUAACAAGUACUGUCGCUUCAGUGAAUGGAAGAAGUACUGAGUGUCCUAUCGUGGUAACCAUUACUAGAGCUCUGUGAAUCGUACAGGGCGUGAAAAAUCAUUCAAAAAAUAUCAUUAAGAUGCUAAAACAUCAACACAAGGCAAUAGCUA